AGAUAUUGCUGUGUAACUGACAUUACUGAGUCAGUUUUCUGAUUUUAUGACUCUUGAGUGUGCAAGUUUAUACUUGACCUCAGAAAUGGUAGUUUGAACAAAUUAUUUCAACUCAAGGUCCACUUACUAGCUUUUUCGACGGCAUCUCAUCGUCGUCAUCAGCGUCUUAGAUAUGGAUGGAUUUUGCUCAAUUAUCACUUGUGGUUAGCGGCUCAGGAAAAACCUAGUAGGUGGGUGUUGAGUUAAGAUUUUGUUGUCAAUUCAUGACUCCUCUGCUAUCGAUGCAUUUUAAAUGAACUGUUGUCCUGUAAUUGUGGCAAUGUGAAAGAUACAGGCUUGCUUUUAGAAAAAGGUUGGAUGAAUGUAAAACAGAAUAAAAAAUAUCAUCCUCAAAGUGAAAUAGUUAACAGCAUUUAACACUGAGGGUGCGAAUGACAGUGAAGCCUGUCACCUAUAGUACACUGACUUCAUCAGGCAACAAGAGAGGACUUACCCGCUGUCUAAUUAUGUAUAUGAGACUUUAAACAUCAAAAUAAUUGUCAGGUAUAAUCACCAAAAGCCAUUCUUCUAUGCAAUGGUUUCUCUUGUUUAUAGUAAUUAUUCUAUUGUCACAUAUACAUAGUGUUAAACCUGCAAUAACGUUUUUUUUGGCCACUUGGGGGCAGCAUAACAAGAUGUAAACACAGCGUUUACAUAUUAUCAAUAGUUACCAAACAAAUUUACAUAUCCAGCAAACACAGAGCAACAUUUUGAGUUGUGUUCUGGCCACCUGAUGAAUGUAAGUCCAAUGUUCAGUCUAUUAGCUCUGGCCUGGUCUCCACCCAUUUUUAAAGGCUCUCUAGCUGCUAAAUGUUCACUAGUCACUAACGUUGUCUGCUGUUUGGUGCUGGGCAGGUAGCAUAGCAUAGCUCUGCAUGCUGCUGCUGGAAACACUGCUGAUGAGAGCCUGAGUCUGGUCAUAAUUUCCUAUGACUUUGUCAUUUGAUCGACUUUUAAUAUAAAAAUUACAAAUUAUAUUAAAUUAUAUACAUUUAUAAACAUUUUUAAAUCACUUCCUUAGCAGACUUACAAAGUUACUUUUGCAUCAUCCUCAGUUAAGAAACAACUGACUGAACCUGCACCGAGCAGUGCCUGCAGGGCCAAAACGAUAUGCGCUUCAGACAGGCUACCGUGCUGAAGCACAAUAGAAGAACAGCCCACGCCCGCGUGGCCUGAAGUGCCUUGCAGACAAACAGAGAGGCAGGGCCUCAUGUCCGGGUUGUCGGUAUCAGACCAGCUCUUAUCUUGAAUAAAUGCCACUCCACACAUUUGUCUGUCUCCCUGCCUGCUGGAGAGCUGUUGGAAUGCUCAGAGAAAUCUCCUCCUCGGGCCUUCUGAGAUCCCAGUCUUGGCGGCUUCACUCUGGCACACCUUCCCCCCUCUCUCGCUCCUUGGAGAGACAUGGGCCGGUAUCUACCACAUUAGGGUGGAUAAUGGGGAUGGAUGGAGCAUUGCAAAGCCAGGUAUGAUGGGCCCGAAGGGCGUGGGAGGAAAAUGGAUAUGUCGUCAUAAAAGGACCUGUGAAUACCAGACAGAGGAAUUCCACUGAGCCUCGACUACAUGCCUGGAGCCAGAGGGAAACAAGGCAUCCAACACGAACAUGGAAACCUGACAUGGCAGGAUUCAACCAGCUAUGCUCUCUGCCCCCUGAGUAACCAGCCCAGAAAAGGGAAGAGGACAGGGGACAGACACCGUGUCACAUUCUCACACACACCUGCUCGACUGACACUUCGAACAGAAGAGUGGGGGCUGUUUCGUCCCAGCAGGUGCAGGGUGUCGACCGCCCAGUUGUAAACAUCAGGGAUGCAGAUGGCCGUGGCCGACUUCCUCUCCCGUUCCCGUUGGGAGGGGGGGUUAGACCGGAUGGCUCCUCGGCCUAAGUCGGGCGGUGGGGGUAUGUGGAGUAGCAUGAAGAGCACCUGAAGAGAGCCACAACAGCCAGCCAGGGUGGCUGGCUUUUCUGGACAGAGGCAGAGGUGCAGUCGGAGGAACCGCUGAUGCUAGAAGGAAAGAUUUUGUGUGGAGAAAAAGAAAAGAAUAAAGAAUA